rnacentral:rRNA from 1 species
GACGAACGCUGGCGGCGUGCUUAACACAUGCAAAUCGAGCGGUAAGGCCCUUUUGGGGGUACGACGAGCGGCGGAACGGGUAGGAGUAACAACGUGGGUGGACCUCGCCCUCCAGCUCUGGGAGUAAGCCUCGGGAAACGUAGGGUCGUAAUAACUGGAGUAUGACCUUUCCCUUCGCAUGGGGUUGGGGUGGUAAAGUUUUCGGUCGUGGGGAGUGGGCCCGCCGGCCUAUCAGCUUGUUGGUGGGGUGAUGGCCUACCAA